UAGAUGGAGGCAACGAAGUUCAUAUGAUUUCAUCCACACAGGCUCCUCAAAAGCACCAGAAAUAUGUGUCUCAUGUUCUUGGUCUUCCAAUGUCUAAAGUGGUAUG